rnacentral:piRNA from 1 species
GACGAUAACAAGGUACAGACGGUCUUUGC